ACGCGCUCAACACAGUUGAAAAGUGUGCGUUGAACAGAACAGUCGUAGGCAGUACGCCAAGAGAUCAGUAGCAACUACGUAGUGAAGUCGCAAACAUGUGCAAGGCUGUUAUAGAUUGUAAAGAAAGAAUGAAGGAUUGGAAGAGUGUGAAGAGACGCUGAGCAAACGGCCUUCGAAUCGAUAGUGGUGUGAGUCAUGGGCGCUGCCACCAGAGAUCCAUGCGAAAAGCCAUCAGGCAUUGGUCCCGGAGCACACUCGUUUCCUGCUCCUCGCACGUUAAUGGCAACGAUGAUGAGGAACGGAACACAAACAAGAAACUACGUCGCAGUGGGCCACUGAAUGCAUCCGUGUCCCGGUAGCAACAAUAGUUCGACUAUGGCUGGUACUGGUAAA
rnacentral:sRNA from 1 species